rnacentral:lncRNA from 1 species
GACAACUGACAUUUUCUUUUUCUUUUUCUUUUUUUUUCUCUUUCUUUUUGAGAGAGGGUUUCAUGUAGCCCAGGGUAGCCUCAAAAUCACUCUGCAGCUGAGGAUGACCACCUGAGUGCCAGGAUUAUAGCCAUGUGUUUGCACGGUCCUGGGGACUGAACCGGCAGGGGGUCAUGUGUUCUGGCCAAGCACUCUACUGACUGAGCCAUGUCUGUGAGCCCCAGUGAUGGACAGAUCUGGAAACUAGCUCCAAGGACGGUAUGGCAUGGGUGUGUCUCAUGAGCACCUUGUAGGAGCCAUGUCUGGAGAGCAGCACGCCCAGUCCUCUGUGCUGGGGUCAGAAUGGAGGGGAACACUGUCUCCUCUGUUCUCGACCGACUCAUCAACAGGACAAACGAGGGGUUCACGUCGUUCCGCAGUCACUUGUGUGACCCACCCACAUGCCACAUCUCUCCUGCACAGCCUGUGUUUCUAGGUGUUAUGGUGACCGUUUCCAGAAGGGAGAAACACGCCAAAUGGAAACGCUGUGUCUGGUCUCAGGCCGUAUGCGACCCUCACGUUCAUCCUCUGCCCUCCUCCUAAGGGUGGCGUGGCAUGGCGUGACUCCCCCUCACCUGGACAGCUGCUAACAGGGCAGGACACGACUUCGAAUCCGUCCCAUCCCACAGAAUCCCGUUCGAGCAGGCUUCCUUGUUCCCGCCUUGUGUUUAGAAGGCUCCUUCUUGGUCCUCAGUGAGUGGCGUGUCAAUAAGCAAGUCAGAGAUUCCUUCGCUACCUUCCACACCUUUACUCACUUGGUCCUCCUCACAGGCCUCUCCGGCAGACGCUGCAGUCCUUGUGUACGACAAGGAAACCGAGGCAGGGUGCGAUAUGGCUAGUUUCUGCAGCCCUGCUUCUCUGUGGGAGAUCUGUGCUGAGUAGUGUCAUUGUCAAUGCUGAGGGGCUAACUUGGUGAUGGCUCCUGGAUCUCUUCGUUUCCUAUUCUGCUUUCCCGUCCCCCAUUGUCUCCCCACAGACCCCAGCUGGGAAGCAUGUGGGCAGAUGUUUGAAGAAUGACUGAAGGGGAGAGCCGGGGCUUUUAUGAACUUCAGACUGUGAACUCUCAAGGAAGAGUGAGUCAGGCGUCCACAUUCCUGGCAUACCUUCAGGAGGUUCCAUGACCUCAGACAAUAAGAACCUGAGGCCCAGUGUCCUUGGGAGGCCUCCCACGAGGAAGGCUGACCUGGAGAAUUUACCUCUCUGGUACUUCGUCCUGAUCCUGAACUCUGCACUGCUCAGGACUCCAUCUUGUCAGACCCCCUAGGCCCACCCAGACAGCUUCCUUGUUUCUGUUAAGCUGCCCCCACACACCCCUACCAUCCUCCAAUACCUGAACUGCCUUUCCCUGGGCCAAGCUCAGUGUGUCCUUUAAGGAGCUGAGGACAUAUAGCCUCCUCUGGCUCCUCCAGAAGGAAGCAGGGUCCCUGAACGCUAGCUUCCAUGGGGCUCUCCUUGGCCAUGCCUCUCAUUGCCAAACGCUUGCGCUGGGAAGGACUUGAUUUUAGUAAGUUGGGCCUACACAUGAUUUAACUCUUUGAGACCAGCAACAGCUCUGGCAUGGAGGAGGGGCAGCCUAGUGCCAGAGAUGGAGGUACUGCCCUGCCCCUGAAGUACAAGAACCAUUCACCCAGGG